rnacentral:snoRNA from 1 species
AAGAUCGUACUUCUAGGGAUCAUUCCUACAGUACGCAUCACCAGGACGUCAGUCAACCUGACCCUGGGAACCCAACCGCGAGGAUGAUGCGCGUGGCCUAGUCCCGAGCGUGAUCCGGGUGUGUGGCUGUCCGUCGGCAAGGCCUCUCUAGUGGGCUGGUUUGUACGGACUCGGCCGCCUCCCUGGUUGAUCGUCCAUCCGGACCGGGUGCGACGUGCCUGUGCGCGUCACGCCUAGUCCGGCGUGGAGGAACUGGCCUGUGCUGAGCGGC